rnacentral:rRNA from 1 species
AGUUUGACUGGGGCGGUCUCCUCCCAAAGAGUAACGGAGGAGCACGAAGGUUGGCUAAUCCUGGUCGGACAUCAGGAGGUUAGUGCAAUGGCAUAAGCCAGCUUAACUGCGAGACGGACAGGUCGAGCAGGUACGAAAGUAGGUCAUAGUGAUCCGGUGGUUCUGAAUGGAAGGGCCAUCGCUCAACGGAUAAAAGGUACUCCGGGGAUAACAGGCUGAUACCGCCCAAGAGUUCAUAUCGACGGCGGUGUUUGGCACCUCGAUGUCGGCUCAUCACAUCCUGGGGCUGAAGUCGGUCCCAAGGGUAUGGCUGUUCGCCAUUUAAAGUGGUACGCGAGCUGGGUUCAGAACGUCGUGAGACAGUUCGGUCCCUAUCUGCCGUGGGCGUUGGAUGAUUGAAGGGAGUUGCUCCUAGUACGAGAGGACCGGAGUGAACGAACCUCUGGUGUUCGGGUUGUCACGCCAGUGGCACUGCCCGGUAGCUAAGUUCGGAAUCGAUAACCGCUGAAAGCAUCUAAGCGGGAAGCGAGCCCUGAGAUGAGUCAUCCCUGACCCCUUGAGGGUCCUAAAGGGCCGUU